UUGAACGCUGGCGGCAUGCUUUACACAUGCAAGUCGAACGGUAACAGGGAGCUUGCUCCGCUGACGAGUGGCGAACGGGUGAGUAAUGCAUCGGUACGUACCCAGUCGUGGGGGAUAACGUAGCGAAAGUUACGCUAAUACCGCAUACGCCCUGAGGGGGAAAGUGGGGGAUCGCAAGACCUCACGUUAUUCGAGCGGCCGACGUCUGAUUAGCUAGUUGGUGAGGUAAUGGCUCACCAAGGCGACGAUCAGUAGCGGGUCUGAGAGGAUGAUCCGCCACACUGGAACCGAGACACGGUCCAGACUCCUACGGGAGGCAGCAGUGGGGAAUUUUGGACAAUGGGGGCAACCCUGAUCCAGCCAUUCCGCGUGAGUGAAGAAGGCCUUCGGGUUGUAAAGCUCUUUCAGCUGGAACGAAACGGUACGCUCUAACAUAGCGUGCUAAUGACGGUACCAGCAGAAGAAGCACCGGCUAACUACGU
rnacentral:rRNA from 1 species